rnacentral:rRNA from 1 species
AUUGAACGCUGGCGGCAUGCUUUACACAUGCAAGUCGAACGGCAGCACGGGUGCUUGCACCUGGUGGCGAGUGGCGAACGGGUGAGUAAUGCACCGGAACGUACCCAGUAAUGGGGGAUAACACAUCGAAAGAUGUGCUAAUACCGCAUACGCCCUGAGGGGGAAAGCGGGGGAUCGUAAGACCUCGCGUUAUUGGAGCGGCCGAUGCCGGAUUAGCUAGUUGGUGAGGUAAAGGCUCACCAAGGCGACGAUCCGUAGCUGGUCUGAGAGGACGACCAGCCACACUGGGACUGAGACACGGCCCAGACUCCUACGGGAGGCAGCAGUGGGGAAUUUUGGACAAUGGGCGCAAGCCUGAUCCAGCCAUGCCGCGUGAGUGAAGAAGGCCUUCGGGUUGUAAAGCUCUUUCGCAAGGAAAGAAAACUUACCUUCUAAUAAAGGGUGAGGUUGACGGUACCUAGAUAAGAAGCACCGGCUAACUACGUGCCAGCCGCCGCGGUAA